UACGUAGGGUGCAAGCGUUAAUCGGAAUUACUGGGCGUAAAGUGUGCGCAGGCGGCGUUGCAAGUCGAGUGUGAAAUCCCCGAGCUUAACUUGGGAAUUGCGCUCGAAACUACGAUGCUCGAGUAUGGCAGAGGAAGGUGGAAUUCCACGUGUAGCGGUGAAAUGCGUAGAGAUGUGGAGGAACACCGAUGGCGAAGGCAGCCUUCUGGGCCAAUACUGACGCUCAUGCACGAAAGCGUGGGGAGCAAACAGG
rnacentral:rRNA from 1 species